rnacentral:lncRNA from 1 species
UGUGGAUACCUAUAGAGGCCGGACGCGUGUGCGGCUUCAAGAGAACCCGAUUCCACGAUCAUCAAAUUGAGGCAAGGAUUUAUCCGCGAAAAAGGUAAUGAUUCGAUCUUACUUUUCUCCUUUAAUCUUAAAGAACAUGAGGGAUCCUAAUUGCAUGUUUCUGAGAUUAGAUCUCGAGAGUUUUUCAAAAUCAAAUUUGUUUGAUUUCUUUUUCCACUGCGUUUUACCGUACGCAAUUUUCUAACAUUUAUAACUUUAAUCCACCCCCCUCCUCCAUUAAUCUCCCACCCUCUUUCUUUUGUAACUCUUUUUUAUGCAUCAUAAAAAAAAUAUCAUCCUCUAAUCUCCCACUCCACACUCAUCUCCCUCUUUCUCUCAUUAUGUUAACGAAGUUGAUGAGAAAGAAGAGGAAGAAAAAGAGACUCUGAAGAACAUUGUCUCCUUCGAGAAACAUCGGCCCGCGAAGCCGAGCCGCGGCCCAUAUAAGUGCCCGCUGAGCCGGUCCGCGCGGGGGCCCCUGCUCACCAUGCGAAUUUAGUCAUGCAAAUUGACCGUGCUUAAUAUGGUAUAGCUUUCUAUAUAUCAAUAAACUGUAAAUAUAAGUUUUAUUAAAAUUUUUAAAUUUUGUUUCUAUUAUCUACCCGCUGCAUCG